rnacentral:rRNA from 1 species
UAAAAGAUUUAUCGGUUUGGGGUGGGCUCGCGUCCGAUUAGGUAGUUGGUGAGGUAACGGCCCACCAAGCCGACGAUCGGUAGCCGACCUGAGAGGGUGAUCGGCCACAUUGGGACUGAGACACGGCCCAAACUCCUACGGGAGGCAGCAGUGGGGAAUAUUGGGCAAUGGAGGAAACUCUGACCCAGCAACGCCGCGUGGAGGAAGAAGGUUUUCGGAUCGUAAACUCCUGUCCUUGGAGACGAGUAGAAGACGGUAUCCAAGGAGGAAGCCCCGGCUAACUACGUGCCAGCAGCCGCGGUAAUACGUAGGGGGCAAGCGUUGUCCGGAAUAAUUGGGCGUAAAGGGCGCGUAGGCGGCUCGGUAAGUCUGGAGUGAAAGUCCUGCUUUUAAGGUGGGAAUUGCUUUGGAUACUGUCGGGCUUGAGUGCAGGAGAGGUUAGUGGAAUUCCCAGUGUAGCGGUGAAAUGCGUAGAGAUUGGGAGGAACACCAGUGGCGAAGGCGACUAACUGGACUGUAACUGACGCUGAGGCGCGAAAGUGUGGGGAGCAAACAGGAUUAGAUACCCUGGUAGUCCACACUGUAAACGAUGAAUACUAGGUGUAGGGGGUAUCGACCCCUUCUG